GUUCGUGUAGUAUAAUGGUUAAGUCAGCCGACGUAUAUCUCGCUGUCACCGAGGAGAUCCGGGUUCAAUUCCCGGCACGAGCU
rnacentral:tRNA from 1 species